UUCUGCUCAAUGAUAAUUAAAUAGCCGCAGUACCCUGACUGUGCAAAGGUAGCAUAAUCAUUUGGCUUAUAAUUGAAGUCUGGCAUGAAGGAAUAAAUGGGAAGCAACUGUCUUUAAUGGGACUAUAGAAUUUAAUUAGCAAGUGAAAAUUCUUGCACAUAAAUAAUAGACGAGAAGACCCUAGAAAUUUUUUAUAGUAUAAUAUUUUAUUAUUAUUAUUUUGUUGGGGCGACAGAAUAACAAAAAACUUAUUUUAAUUAUCAGAACUUUAUAUUGAGUAAAAAUAAAUUACUCUAGGGAUAACAGCAUAAUUUAUCAAAGUUUGUGACCUCGAUGUUGGACUAGGGAUCUUAAUAUUUAGAAGAUACUAAGUUAGGCUCUGUUCGAGCCACCAUCCCUACGUGAUCUGAGUUCAGACCGGA
rnacentral:rRNA from 1 species